GCCUGAGGAUUGGCCACAGCGCAAAAAUGAUACCUGGGCAGGGCUCCAAGGCGUACCUGAAAACCCAGAUCUUUUUGUAGAGGCAGUUUCUUCGCUUCAGGAGCUUAAGGAGAUUGUGUUUCUAGUAGUGCUUGAGAUUCCACCUCUAUUGUUCUACUCUUUUCUUUCCCCACACAACUUCAGCGGCUCUACUCAAACUGGUUUGUGAACUUUCGGCCAACAUGGAAGGAGCAGUCGGUACUUCAGCAAAUGGAAGGAGCAGGAAGUGAACGUCUUUGGCUGAAGCAGCACAGCAAGUCGACACAAUGGCAUCUCUUGUUCGCAGCUACAUACUGAAUGACUACGAUGAGAAUCAACCCGUUUCACCACAAAGUGUGAUUCCUCUCAGCGAUCUUCACUGCCCUGUCUGUCUCUAUAAAAUCCUCUGAUUUGCGUCUUACCAGGCAUGUUUAGAUGUUGCUAUUGUCUCUAAUACUGCCUGGUAAUGCCGCCAAUCACAAGGAAGUUGAUCAUCAUUCUCACCUCCUUGCUACAAUGUUGGAAUGUUGGUUUUAAACUCCUGCCUUGCUCAUUCUUACUUACAGACUUAUGCCAUUUUUUUUGUUUACACGCAAAAACAAUACUCGUUUUUUGGCAUUGUUAAUGAUGAUGAUGAUAAAUGAUGUGCAUCUGAAUGUAAUGACAAAUUUUACUGUCAGUGUUUACAAUAAAAUCGUAUUUUUCUGUCCAAA